GGGGGCGCACUGGUUUCGACUGAAGCUCAGGGGUGGUUGCUGCAAGCCGAGGAUUGAGAAGGUGUCCUCGUAAAUCUCCCUUUUCAAAAAUCAAACGCCAAUGAAGAACUGGCCCUCGCUGCCUAAAUAAAAAACAGGCACGACGUCGCUACCCUGACUCCUGCUAGGGAAUAGCGGCGACAUUCAGCAGGGCUCUCCGCCAGGUGGGACACCGACCUGUCACGGGAGUAUUAACGCGGUGACUAAGGGCGAAGGGUGAGCCGUUGCACAACCUUCGCCACCAAAACCCAUACAACGGACACGCUUGUAGAUGCAGCCAUGACUCAGUUUUAGGACGCGGGUUCAACUCCCGCCGCCUCCACUA
rnacentral:tmRNA from 1 species